rnacentral:rRNA from 1 species
UACGUAGGGGGCUAGCGUUAUCCGGAAUUACUGGGCGUAAAGGGCGCGUAGGUGGCGUCGCAAGUCAACGGUGAAAGCUCGACGCUCAACGUCGAGUCGGCCGUCGAGACUGCGAGGCUUGAGGCACUGUAGAGGCAGAUGGAAUUCCGGGUGUAGCGGUGGAAUGCGUAGAGAUCCGGAAGAACACCGGUGGCGAAGGCGGUCUGCUGGGCAGUGCUGACACUGAGGCGCGACAGCGUGGGGAGCAAACAGGG